rnacentral:rRNA from 1 species
CACGUAGGGCGCAAGCGUUGUCCGGAAUUAUUGGGCGUAAAGAGCUCGUAGGCGGUUUGUCGCGUCUGCUGUGAAAACGCGAGGCUCAACCUCGCGCCUGCAGUGGGUACGGGCAGACUAGAGUGCGGUAGGGGAGACUGGAAUUCCUGGUGUAGCGGUGAAAUGCGCAGAUAUCAGGAGGAACACCAGUGGCGAAGGCGGUUCUCUGGGCAUUACCUGACGCUGAGGAGCGAAAGUGUGGGGAGCGAACAGG